AUGGGUGGCAAGACUCUUCAGGUGUCAGGAUUUCCUGCAACUUUCAAUGUUCACCAUGUCAAGGAUUUGUUGGAACGAAUUGUCGGUGUGGGUAAAGUCUGUGCGGUCAAGCUCAGGCCUCCAAAGAACAGCUCUGCAAACUCAAGAUCUUUUGCCAUUGUUCAGUUCGAGACCGAAGCACAUGCUUCGCUGGUGGUGAAUGCGGCUCGAGGGAAUGCACUUAGGAGUGGAAGUAAUUAUUUGAAGGUCCGACCUGCGGAACGUGACAUUGUUCUGAAACCAAGAACUGCGAUGUUUAAUCUAGAGGAGGAUGCAACAUUGCAUUUUGGCUGCCUUCUGAGGGAAAGAGUUCUAUCUGUUCUGUGGAGCGGAACAGGCGUUUCUGUUGAGUUUGGAUUUGCUAUGAAGAAGAUUGACUUUUGCCUGACCUACAACUCGAAGAAAUACAAACUUGAACUUUCAUAUGAGAGCAUAUGGGAGAUCCAGAUUCAUCAGCCACCUGGAUCACAAAAGAAGUUCCUUUUGAUUCAGGUCAUGGCUGCUCCAAAAAUUUACGAACAAAAUCUACGGCAUUCUGGCUCUAUGUACGACGAUCCAUCAUACAACUAUUUUAGGGAUGAUACUGAAGAUCAGUGGACCAGAACUACUGAUUUUACUCCAUUAGCCAGCAUUGGGCAGUCAUAUAUUCUGUGUCUGGAGAUACCAAAUGAUUGUGAUCUCCCGAACAUUCGGGAGUACUUUGUUUACUGUGAAGUACACAAUGAUGACUUUCAUUGCCAGCCUGGACAUUCAUAUUCAAGCAAUACCUGCUUUGUUCCAAUUGUGAAAUCUCUUUAUUCCACCAAUGUCCCCUAUGAGAUAAUCUUCAAGAUCAACCACUUGGUUCAGAAUGGGAUACUUAGUGGGCCAACACUUGAUGACAACUUCUACCGUCUGGUCAGCCCGGGAUAUGUGUGUAUUGACCAUAUAAAGCGUGCACUUGAAAAUAUGUCAUACCUAAAAAAGACUUGCUUGAAUCCAACAAAUUGGUUAUCUGAACAAUACAAAGAAAUUCAGAGAUCACGCUACAUGUUAACAUCACCAAACAUAUCUCUGGAUGAUGAUGGGUUGGUAUAUGUUUACAGGGUGCAAAUUACCCCUGCAAAAGUGUACUUUUAUGGUCCUGAAAUUAAUGUCUCGAAUCGUGUUGCACGUAAUUACGCUGAUGAUUUGGAUAACUUCCUUCGGAUUUCAUUUGUCGACGAGGACUUUGAGAAGCUUCGUUCGACUGAUUUAUCACCACGUUCUGCUCCAGGAAAUAAUGCAAGGAGAACUGCUCUGUACAACAGAAUUCUGUCGGUCCUAUCGAAUGGCAUCACUAUUGGUAACAAGCACUUUGAGUUUUUGGCUUUCUCUUCAAGCCAGCUGCGGGAUAACUCUGCGUGGAUGUUUGCUUCUCAUCCGGGGUUGUCUGCCAGUGACAUCAGGGAGUGGAUGGGGAACUUCCGUAAUAUUAGAAAUGUGGCAAAGUAUGCUGCAAGGCUUGGUCAGUCCUUUAGUGCCUCAACAGAAACCUUGAAAGUACAUAAGUAUGAGGUGCAAGUAAUUCCAGAUGUAAAAAAUGGUACGAAGUAUGUAUUCUCUGAUGGAAUUGGAACCAUUUCAGCUGAUUUUGCAGAUGAGGUGUCUAAGAAGUGCAAAUUGGCCCGCUUUACUCCCUCUGCUUUCCAAAUAAGGUAUGGGGGUUACAAAGGUGUUGUCGCUAUUGAUCCAACAUCACACUGGAAACUUUCUUUAAGAGGAAGCAUGUCAAAGUUUCCGUCAGACAACAUCACACUGGAUGUCCUUGCAUACAGCAAGUACCAGCCAUGUUUCCUGAACCGGCAGUUAAUCACUCUUCUUUCGACACUCGGAGUUAGAGAUAACAUAUUUGAACUGAAGCAACAAGAAGUUGUGAAGCAGUUAAACAGAAUGGUAACUGAACCACAAGCUGCUAUUGAUGCAAUUGAACUUAUGCCCAUGGGAGAGAUUACCAAUGUUGUUAAAGAAUUGCUGUUAUGUGGCUACAAGCCGGAUGUUGAACCAUAUCUUUCUAUGAUUCUACAAACCUUUAGAGCAUCCAAGUUGCUAGAACUGAAAACGAAGUCUAGGAUAUUCAUCCCAGAAGGACGAGCAAUGAUGGGAUGCUUGGAUGAAACCCGCACACUCAAGUACGGACAGGUAUUCAUUCAAGCUUCUAAUAGUGCAAAUGACAGUGACAAGUUCAUCGUAACUGGAAAAGUUGUCGUUGCCAAAAACCCUUGCCUCCACCCUGGUGAUAUCCGUAUUCUCGAGGCUGUUUAUACCCCUGUUCUGGACCAUAUGGUUAACUGUGUUGUCUUUCCACAGCAGGGGCCAAGGCCUCAUCCUAACGAGUGUUCAGGAAGUGAUCUUGAUGGGGACAUAUAUUUUGUUUCAUGGGACCCAGAUCUCAUUCCAACUCGUAUGGUGGCACCUAUGGACUAUACUCCAGCACCAACAGAAACAUUAGAUCAUGAUGUUAUGAUCGAGGAAGUACAUGAGUAUUUCGCAAAUUACAUAGUUAAUGAGAGUCUGGGAAUCAUUGCCAACGCACAUGUGGUCUUUGCGGAUAGGGAAAGCUUGAAGGCUGAAAGUACACAAUGCAUUAAGCUGGCAGAGCUCUUCUCCAUUGCUGUUGAUUACCCAAAGACAGGAGUGCCGGCUCAAAUUCCGCCUGAACUACAUGUGAAGGAGUACCCAGAUUUUAUGGAGAAGCUCGACAGGGUUACCUAUGUAUCUGAGGGAGUAAUAGGGAAGCUGUAUAGGGAAAUUAAGAAGCAGAGCCCUCGCAUAGAGCAUUUCACAAAGGAUGUGGCAAGGCGGUCUUAUGACAGUGAUUUGAUUGUUGAUGGCUACCAAGACUACAUCGACGAAGCUGUGUGGAUGAAGGGAGAGUAUGACUUCAAGUUGGGUAAUCUGAUGGAGCACUAUGGAAUAAAAAGCGAGGCUGAGAUAAUAAGUGGAUGCAUUCUUAAGAUGGCGAAGAAUUUUACCAAGAGUAGUGACGCCGAUGCUAUUAGACAGGCGGUGAAAUCAUUGCGGAAGGAAGCAAGGUCAUGGUUCAGCGAGAUGAACGUCGGUGAGAGCGGGGAUGUCCCUGAAGCCUUGUAUGCCAAGGCAUCCGCUUGGUAUCAUGUUACCUAUCACCCCGAGUACUGGGGUUGUUACAAUGAAGGAUAUGGCCGGCCACAUCUCAUCAGCUUUCCAUGGUGUGUCUAUGACAAGCUGCUUCUCAUCAAGCAGAGAAAGAAAUUUCGAAGGAGGAUGCAGCCUCAUGUGCUUGAUCUCCAGAAUAGCAUGAGGCGAAACACGAUAUUCGGUUGA
rnacentral:rRNA from 1 species